rnacentral:rRNA from 1 species
AUUGAACGCUGGCGGCAGGCCUAACACAUGCAAGUCGAGCGAGCGGCGGACGGGUGAGUAAUGUCUGGGGAACUGCCUGAUGGAGGGGGAUAACUACUUGAAACGGUAGCUAAUACCGCAUCCCAUCAGAUGUGCCCAGAUGGGAUUAGCUAGUAGGUGGGGUAACGGCUCAACUAGGCGACGAUCCCUAGCUGGGCUGAGAGGAUGACCCGCCACACUGGAACUGAGACACGGUCCAGAGUCCUGCGGGAGGCAGCUGUGGGGAAUAUGGCACAAUGGGCGCAAGCCGGAUGCAGCCAUGCCGCGUGUGUGAAGAAGGCCUUCGGGUUGUAAAGCACUUUCAGCGGGGAGGCGUUACCCGCAGAAGAAGCACCGGCUAACUCCGUGCCAGCAGCCGCGGUAAUUC